rnacentral:rRNA from 1 species
UGCCGUAAACGAUGGGCACUUGGUGUCGGGGGUAUUGAGUCCCCCGGUGCCGGAGUUAACACGUUAAGUGCCCCGCCUGGGGAGUACGGUCGCAAGACUGAAACUCAAAGGAAUUGACGGGGGCCCGCACAAGCGGUGGAGCAUGUGGUUCAAUUCGACGCAACGCGAAGAACCUUACCGGGGCUCGAACGGUGACUGCAAUCCUUGGAAACAGGGAGUUCUCUUCGGAGACGGUCAUCGAGGUGCUGCAUGGCUGUCGUCAGCUCGUGUCGUGAGACGUUAAUCUC